rnacentral:rRNA from 1 species
UACAGAGGGUGCAAGCGUUGUUCGGAAUUAUUGGGCGUAAAGCGCGUGUAGGCGGCUUAGUAAGUUGGGUGUGAAAGCCCUCGGCUUAACCGAGGAAGUGCGCCCAAAACUGCUUGGCUUGAGUACCGGAGAGGGUGGCGGAAUUCCCGGUGUAGAGGUGAAAUUCGUAGAUAUCGGGAGGAACACCAGCGGCGAAGGCGGCUCACUGGACCGGUACUGACGCUGAGGCGCGAAAGCGUGGGGAGCAAACGGGG